GACGUAGGGCGCGAGCGUUGUCCGGAUUUAUUGGGCGUAAAGAGCUCGUAGGCGGUUUGUCGCGUCUGCUGUGAAAACCCGAGGCUCAACCUCGGGCCUGCAGUGGGGUACGGGCAGACUAGAGUGUGGUAGGGGGAGACUGGAAUUCCUGGUGUAGCGGUGGAAUGCGCAGAUAUCAGGAGGAACACCGAUGGCGAAGGCAGGUCUCUGGGCUG
rnacentral:rRNA from 1 species